UGAAGCAUUGAACAAUAUGAGUAGUCAGAUGUGUGGUAUCUGGUUCUUUAACCUUGAAAAUAUUGAUAUUUCUGUUCUCGUGUGAUAAAAGAGCUUUUGAGCAAUGCACCUAAGAUAACUAGGAGAGGCAUACCAGAAAGCGGUGAAGCAUUGAACAAUAUUAAUAAUCAGAUGUGUGGUAUCUGGUUCUUUAACUUGAAAAUAUUGAUAUUUCUGUUCUCAUGUGAUAGAAGAGCUUUUGAGCAAUGCACCUAAGAUAACUAGGAUUUGCUGUUUCAAACGAAUAUGAUUUUACUGUAAGCUUAUCUUGUGGAUGUAGAAUUCAGCAUGGCAAGAGUUGUCUCUUGUAUUUUCUUUUUUUCCCAUGUUACUGGCCUUACUCAUUUCCCGGCUUUUAUUUGACUUUCUUGUCUCUUGCCUGCUUGAAAUUGUCCUACUUAUUUAACUUUCGCAGAGUUGUCCUUUUCCG
rnacentral:lncRNA from 1 species